AUGAUUGCUAAUGGUAAGCAUCGAAAGAAGAGGAUCUUUCAGCUUGAGCAAGAUGAGGGUACAAUUGUAGGACAGGAGAACCUAAAAUUGUACAUUACUGAAUUCUAUAAGCAGUUGUUUGGUCCUCCAGACAAUAACUGUGUGUCUCUGGAUGAGUCCAGGGUUGAGGAUGUUCCUCAGCUCACAGUUGUGGAGAAUGAUGUUUUGACGGCUCCUUUUACCCAGAAAGAGGUAUUUGAUGCCGUCUCACAAAUGGAAACUAACAAAGCGCCUGGCCCAGAUGGAUUUCCAGUGGAGUUUUAUAAGAAAUGCUGGUUUAUCAUUAAAGGAGAUUUGUUGCCUUUGUUCCAUGAUCUGUUUGCUGGGCAGCUUCAUCUUUUUCAGCUAAAUUUUGGAACGAUCACCCUUCUUCCUAAGAAAACAGAGGCAGUGAGAAUUGAGCAAUUCAGGCCAAUCUGUCUUCUUAAUGUUAGCUUCAAAAUUUUCACCAAGGUCGGGACCAAUAGGCUCUCACAGAUCGCGCAUGUCAUUGUGCAGCCUACCCAAACGGCCUUCAUGCCGGACAGGAACAUUCUUGAGGGUGUUGUGGUCCUACAUGAAACACUGCAUGAAAUCCACACGAAAAAGCUGGAUGGGGUUGUUUUCAAAGUGGAUUUCGAAAAAGCGUAUGACAAAGUCAAAUGGCCUUUCCUUCAACAGGCUUUACGCAUGAAGGGUUUUGAUGAGGCCUGGCGACGCCAGGUAGAAUCCUUUACGCAAAAAGGCAGUGUUGGAAUUAAAGUCAAUGAGGAUAUAGGUCAUUAUUUCCAGACACACAAAGGCCUAAGACAAGGAGAUCCAAUGUCCCCUAUAUUGUUCAACAUUGUAGUUGAUAUGUUGGCCAUUCUCAUAGGUAGGGCAAAGGACGCCGGUCAGGUAGGUGGCUUGGUGCCUAACCUAGUUGAUGGGGGUGUCUCCAUUUUGCAAUACGCUGAUGAUACAAUCAUCUUCAUGGAGCAUGACUUGGCAAAAGCGAGAAACAUGAAGCUGGUGUUGUGUUUAUUUGAACAAUUGUCCGGUUUAAAGAUUAACUUUCAUAAAAGCGAGUUGUUUUGCUUUGGUCGAGCCAAGGAGGAACAAGAGGCUUAUAGGCAAUUGUUCGGUUGUGAAUUAGGGGCUUUACCUUUUACUUACCUAGGUAUACCCAUUCAUCAUCGUAAGCUCACGAACAGAGAAUGGAAAUGUAUCGAAGAUCGGUUCGAAAAGAAACUUAGUUGUUGGAAGGGCAAACUUCUGUCUUAUGGAGGCCGGUUGAUUCUUAUUAAUUCGGUGCUCACAAGUUUGCCGAUGUUCCUACUAUCUUUCUUUGAGGUUCCAGUUGGGGUUAGGAAACGGCUGGACUUUUAUCGGUCAAGAUUUUUUUGGCAGAGUGAUGAUCUAAAAAGAAAGUAUAGACUCGCCAAGUGGGAUAUUAUUUGUCGUCCCAAGGAUCAGGGGGGUUGGGUAUUGAGAAUCUUGAGGUAA
rnacentral:rRNA from 1 species